GUAAUUGUUCAAUUUGACGCGGAAAUAAUAAUGAUAUACCCAUCUCUUUCUCACAACAGUGGUUUUACCUUAGAAAAAGCAUCUACACUCUUUUUAUUAGCGCCCUCUUCAUUGGCAUCGAUGUACCUUUGCUGCCACGGACGCCAUCUUACUUUACGGUUUUGUUUACAUGUGGGAAGAUGUCAUUGUGAAAUUUUUACGAUUUUCCAGUGUUUUUCGACCAUAUACGAGUGUAUUAAGUAUAAUUGAAACUAAUAAUAGGUACCAUGAAGUGUUCUAUAGUAGGUUGUGGCCUAUGCCAAAGCAAAAACAAGCCGAAUCUAACCUUUCACCGUUUACCAAGUAACGAAUCACUGCGGCGGCGAAAGGCAUGUUUGGAAAAGAUUGGCAUAGAAAAUAUCCGGCCAGGAAGUAAAAACAUUAAUGUGUGCUCAUUGCACUUUUAAGAGAGCGCAUUUAAUAAGACUUUAAACAUCGUUAGAUUGAGAGAUGAUGCUAUCCCAACAGUAUUUGCAAAGGCUUCAGCACUCGAAGAAUUAAAAAAAUUA